rnacentral:rRNA from 1 species
UCUAAGUAUAAACGAUUUAAUCGUGAAACCGCGAAUGGCUCAUUAUAACAGCUAUAAUUUACUUGAUCUUGACACAAUCCUACUUGGAUAACUGUGGUAAUUCUAGAGCUAAUACAUGCAUUAAAGCUCUGACCUCACGGGAAGAGUGCAUUUAUUAGAACAAAACCAAGCGGCUUCGGCUGUUUCUGGUUGACUCAUAGUAACUGAGCUGAUCGCAUGGUCUUGCACCGGCGACGUGUCUUUCAAGUAUCUGCCGUAUCAACUUUCGAUGGUAGUGUAUCUGACUACCAUGGUGAUCACGCGUAACGGAGAAUAAGGGUUCGGCUCCGGAGAGUUCGCCUGAGAAAUCGCGAACACA